ACGGAGUAGGCUCGUCAGGAAUAAGGAGGAUGUAAUAGUUAUCUAUUCUAUACAGCAGCCCAAAUCUUCUUUUAUGUUCCAGGGGGAAAAAAAUAACAGCAUAGGCUACAUGACAUGAAGUGUCUCCAGUCUCCUUUGGACAGACAUAACAGAGAUGAGAGAGGAAGAGCAGAUGCAAGGAAAAGAAGAAAGCAAGUCGUUUGGAACAACACAAUGCAGGUGUGGUGUAAAACACUGGAAAAGGAUGCAUUGACUCUUCCCAUCUGAACGUCAGUGUGUAAGAAAAUCUGCCGGAUGGGACGCAUAUCGUGUCAUUGCAGCAGUGUGAUAGGACACAGGAAAAGGAAAAUCCUCUUAAUCGAGGCUGGAUGAAUCGAGGAAGGAGGGCCUCAUCGCUGGAUGGAAUUUCAGCUCUUGGCUCGUCAUCUCUGAAGUGGCCAGAGAUUAUCUGUUUGUUUGGGGUAUCGAUCCGACACUUGAGCCUGCUCGUUGGAACCGUAUACACGUUCAGAUGGGACUUUCACCGGGGUUAAAUUCGGACCUCAGAGGCCCCGCGGCUUAACCGUGAACGACAACAUUUAUAACUUAAUGACAACUGUUUUGGAGUCCGCACGGGAUGACUAAUUCAACUCGAUGGUCAAUUUUACCACACAGAAGUGCCCUCUUCAGUUCUCCUCUCCAUAUGGGCUGUUCACCCUGUCCAAUUCAUUAGCCACUCUGGGCUCUUGUAAAACCAUGUCCCGUGAUGCACUGGUGCAGAGCUUCUAUUGAUGGUGACAGUCCAUUAAAUUCUUCAUCAAGAGGCGGUUCGAUGCCCAGAACUCCUCGUUUAAACAUAGUACUGCCUGGCCAGAGCAACCAGCCUCUGUUUACCUCUAAACCAAACAGCAUUUUGUUAUUGUUCAGGGUGCAGAGCAAUGCUGCGUGGUGACUAUGACUAUUUUAAAAAUACCACUUACACUGCAAAAAUAGCUUUUUAAUACAUUUUUGAUUAGGUUUUAUUUUUGACUUGUUUUCCAGUGCAAAAAACAAAAAAAUCAGUGUAGCAAGAUGCAUAAGAUGUUAAGACUUGUUUUCAAAGAAUGUAUCUUUAAUACUGCACUUGCAGAUAUUUUCCACUUGUUUUGCAUAUAAACAAGUUAAAAACAAGUGGAAAAACUUGCUAGAGCAAUAAGACAAUACUCUUAUAUUCAAGAUGCAGUCUAUGAAAACGCUUAAUGUCUUAAGCAAAGUUGCUUCUCGACAAUAUUUUAGUAUUACUUUUAAUGGCAUUUGUUAAUAUUUUGAAUUUCCCUUUAUUUUUAUAUUUUCAGUUUUGAUUGUGUUUUUAGUUUAAGUUUUAGUAAUUGUGUAACUCAUUUUUAUUAUUCUAUACUCAGUUUUUAAUGUUUAUAUUUAGUUUUAAUUUAUUUUUAAAUUCAGUUUUAGUUAGUUGUUUUAGUACUUCAACUUAUUUUAUUUCAGUUAAUUUCCAAGAUAACACUUUAAUAUUUUCCCCUAAUUUUUUAAGUUUUUGUAAGCUUAAGUUUUUCAUGUAAUAUUUAUAUUUUCUUUAUUUUAAUUAACAAAAAUGAUUUUUUAAUAGCUUUAGUUGUAGUUUUAGUGAACAAUACAAACUGUUUCUCAAAAGAAUUAAUGUAAAAUAAUUUUUAGACAUUUUUUAACUGGAAAAACAAGAUAAACAUGCUCAUUAAGAAUAGUAUUUUUCCAGUGUUUCAGUUUAUUAGUUUCAGGCAUACCCGAGUUACAUUUUCAAAUAAGUAGCAUGUUACUAUUCUAUUUAUGGGUCAGUGACAUGACGGGUCAUUUUUUUGUCCAAAGGCCUUAAUAAUAAUAAAAAAGAUAUGACAUCCAAUGUAUGUAAGGUAGUACAACUAGAUCUGUUUUAUUUAAUCCAAAAGGUUUUAAUUAUAUUUUGCUACAUAUAAAGGUGUUUUAAAGAUUUUGAAGUGUCAAAAGGUCAUUCGGUUUAACCGUCCAAAGGCCGAUACAGCCAUUUAAUUCAUGAUUAAAAUAUCUUAGAAUGUAAUAAAUGUAUAUAUUUUUUAUUCUGGCAUGAUUGUAUAACAUCAUAUAUCAACAUAGUGCAAAAUGGUAUUAAAAUUAUGUGUAGAAGUUGUUGCUUUGUUAUGAGAAAAAAUGUCUGGAAAAAUUUAUUUAAUUGAUGUCAUUCGGAGUAACCAAUAUAAAGCGACCAUUUUGGAUCAAGUCAUGCGGUCAAUAUCAUGUGACAGGAUGUGACAUCAUUCAGACGCCUGCAAAGGACCACAUGGUUGUGAAGCAAAGUAAAAAAAAAAAAAAAAAAAAAUCACUAGUGAAAUUCAUGUUUUCACUUCCUCCUACACAUGUCCUGAAACAUCAGGUCAUUCGGUACAACCGCUAUAAUGCAUGGAAAAUUUUGUAAUAUGUUAAAAACUUGUACUAAAUAUAAAAUGUUUGAUUGUCCUUUUGCUAGCUAGCUAGAUAUCAACCUGUUAGCAUUGUUUAAAAAUAUCGUCAUUCGGUAUAACCAAAAGUGUAAUUUGGUAAAACCGAAAUUUUGGUUAAACCGAAUGACUUUUUUGGUGACAAGUUUUGUCCAUCUUGUAAAAAAAUGACAAAAGCAGUGCUAAUUGAUUAUAAAAAACACAUAAUCUCAUUGUUAACACUUACUAAAUUUAAAAUUAAUUUAGUCUCCAUUAUGAUUUUUACACUUUUAAAAACCUUAUUCGUGAAUUACCCUUUUUUAAUUUAAAGAGAUAGUUUGCUCUAAAAUGCAAAUUCUGUUGUUAUUUACCUUGUAUUGUUCUAAAUUGAUAUGUCAUAUAUGUAUGCGUUGCUCUUGCCAUGCAGUCUUCUAUAGUCAAACAAUGUCUUUUAUUAGGGGUAAUGCAUUCAUAUGCUUUUUCUGCUUUUUCACUGUAACACAUGCUUUUUCUUUUAAAAGUGAUGAGUUUGGGAAAGGAAUCUCUUUAUGCAACCAAAAGCAGAGGAGAGUGUUGAUCUUUUGAAAACAGUCAUUAUUUUUGCCAUUCAAUUGAGUGAUGCUAAGAAAUUAUGCACAUUAAUAUGACUUUCACUGCCUUUUCUUCAAAAUUUCUUUUUUUUUAGGCUCGCACUGCAUGUCCCAUUGCAAUGAUGAAGAUUUCUGUGACAGGAUUCGACAAACACUAAACCCUUUUUUGCAUCAGGCAGCAGCAGUGGAAGAUUAAAUUGCGUUGUGGCAGUGGCGGCACAGUCAGUUCGUGGCUUCAUCCAUUAUCAAUCGUCUACUCGAGGCUUAAGAAAGGUUGACAUGCCACAGCCAGACAUGAUAAUGAAAGAGAUACUGAUCUGUGCUGACGAGGGGUCAGUGAACGGCCCUGAAUGGGUUCAUAUUGAUUACAUGAUCUGCCUUUUCAUGCUACAUCGUGCUGUCCUGAAAAAGUUGAUGUUGCACUUAGACGAAAUGUCCACUGCAAACAAAAUAAAGCUCAUGAUUCCUAUUACAGGCAGAAGGUAAGAUGGAUGGUUCAGGUCAUGCUACUGAUGCGCAAUUGGAUGCUUCAACCCCACUGACAUUCAUAUAAUAGGCACGUCCAAGACAUUAUUCCAAAACAAAUCAUGGCUUGACCAGAAACCGCUCUCAGAUUACUAAGCCGUUUAUACAAUCAAAGUAGCUGAUAUGUGAGCCACUACAAUACUUGACCCAGUUUCCAAUGGCGGUAUGAAAAUGUGCACAGA